rnacentral:rRNA from 1 species
GAGCAAUCCAUGAGUAAAGUGGCGACCGGGUGAGUAACACGUGACUAACCUACCCCCGAGUGGGGAAUAACUCCGGGAAACCGGGGCUAAUACCGCAUAACAUCGCAAGAUCAAAGCAGCAAUGCGCUUGGAGAGGGGGUCGCGGCUGAUUAGCUAGUUGGUGAGGUAACGGCCCACCAAGGCGAAGAUCGGUAUCCGGCCUGAGAGGGCGCACGGACACACUGGAACUGAAACACGGUCCAGACUCCUACGGGA